rnacentral:rRNA from 1 species
UACGUAGGGUGCAAGCGUUAAUCGGAAUUACUGGGCGUAAAGCGUGCGCAGGCGGUGAUGUAAGACAGAUGUGAAAUCCCCGGGCUCAACCUGGGAAUGGCGAUGGUGACUGCAAGGCUAGAGUUUGGCAGAGGGGGGUAGAAUUCCACGUGUAGCAGUGAAAUGCGUAGAUAUGUGGAGGAACACCGAUGGCGAAGGCAGCCCCCUGGGUCAAAACUGACGCUCAUGCACGAAAGCGUGGGGAGCAAACAGG